GUAUUUCAAGCCAGCAUUGUGCAAGAACUUAAAGAAGAAAAAAUAGACAACAUUGAAGUUCAAGAAAUUGAAGAUUCGUUGAUAGAAAUUAGAUCUCUAGAUGAGCCCAUAAUCCACAAUUUUACCCAUCAUUGGCAGUUUGAUGUUGGUGUGUAUGUAAAGAAAAAGAAGAUAACAACUUCUUUUAGGAAGGAAUAUCUAGAGAGAAUCAAAUCCCCUA
rnacentral:misc_RNA from 1 species